AUUGAACGCUGGCGGCAGGCCUAACACAUGCAAGUCGAGCGGAUGAAGGGAGCUUGCUCCUGGAUUCAGCGGCGGACGGGUGAGUAAUGCCUAGGAAUCUGCCUGGUAGUGGGGGAUAAUGUCCGGAAACGGGCGCUAAUACCGCAUACGUCGUGAGGGAGAAAGUGGGGGAUCUUCGGACCUCACGCUAUCAGAUGAGCCUAGGUCGGAUUAGCUAGUUGGUGGGGUAAAGGCCUACCAAGGCGACGAUCCGUAACUGGUCUGAGAGGAUGAUCAGUCACACUGGAACUGAGACACGGUCCAGACUCCUACGGGAGGCAGCAGUGGGGAAUAUUGGACAAUGGGCGAAAGCCUGAUCCAGCCAUGCCGCGUGUGUGAAGAAGGUCUUCGGAUUGUAAAGCACUUUAAGUUGGGAGGAAGGGCAGUAAGUUAAUACCUUGCUGUUUUGACGUUACCAACAGAAUAAGCACCGGCUAACUUCGUG
rnacentral:rRNA from 1 species